UUCUGUGGGAUCAGUGAAGGUCAGAGUCUGUGCCCGCACUCACAUACCACUGUGCUACUGCGAUUUUUCCUGUGCUUCUGAGAUUCUUUCCUGUGCCACCCUUAGUUCACAGGAAAAAAAAAAAAAAGUUGCUUUUGGUGGGAAAGGAGCACUUUCACUCACCUCUUCAUUCAAGGGCCAUAUGGUGCCUCACCAUUUUGCAGGGUGCUGUGGAUCUUCCAAAGGGACAUAGGGAAACAUUCAGGAGUGAAAGUGUCUUCAUAUAGUUCUCCUUACUUUCCUUGAUGAUGAUGCAAUUGGUUACAAGGACAGUUUUAAACUGCCAAUUGAGGGAAAUCCAAAGAAUUAAAGAAGAAAAAUAAUUUCUAAACCACCAAAUCGACAAGCUGAGCUCCUUAGGAUAUGUGACACAUACUGCUGCUGGUUUGCGUGUAAAAACCACAAUGCUCUCACAGUGAGUGCAUUCUGUAUGAAGCAGUCUCAUGGAAAUCAGUGGGACCAUCCUGCGAGAACAAAUAUAGUUUUCAGUCCCAUUUAUUACUCUCUUGCUUUGAACACCAUGGUGGCAUUGCCCGGCAAGGAAUCUGUUCCCAGAGGAGAUAGAUUCUCAUGUUUUAAUUCACAAAGGAAUUAUUGCUUCAUGUAUGAUACAUAGUGAAAACUCUACAAAAUUAACUUGCAAAAUGCGAGUGAUUUUGAAGAAGCAGGAUGUGAAGCUGCUUUGCCUCAAAGCCAUGAUGCCCUGUUUUAUUUCCAGCCUUUUGGUUUCUGAGCUGCACCAUGAUAAUGGAAAGGAGAAUAACAGUCAAGAGAGAUACAAUUCUGGAAAGAUGAAGGAAAGAAGAAAAAGAGAGUACCUCCUUCUGCACUCAGGACAGAUUAAAAAACUGCGAUAAAUUUCUCAUAUUAGUAGUACGUUUCAUCUAAUAUGUUUCUAUGAGGCAGGAAUGAAACUCCAUCUUUAAGUACAGUUUUGGCUUCCUAGAAAAAGACAACAUUUAACAACAUUUCUGCCUAGAAAAAGACAACAUUUGGUUGACUGCCAAUUGAACAGGCAUGUGCAGAGGAAGAAGAGUAAGGUGGAAGAAAAGAAAGAUGGUUGGGGACAGGGGCAAAAAAUAAUAAAUGAAAGACACAAAGUAUUUUAAUGAGUUGUCAUUUUGAACAGCAUGAUUUUGUGAGUCCAACACAGAGAUGUCUGCUUUUGUGGGUAUGUAGGAAAACAUUUAAAAAAUCUUAUCCAUGUUAUUUAUACUGAUUGUGGAAAAUUUAAAUACGUUUGAAAUUAUGAGCUGAAAUUUUAUGGGCAGAAGGAGAAAUUUCUUUCUGAGUACCUCUGAGACUAUUACACUAAGUAUUUUUAGUACGGUCCUAAAUACAUGCAUUCCUGAAUUUCUGAUAAAAACCACUAAUGUAACUGACUUUGCAUUUGAGUUGAUAUUGUUAAUCAAGGGUGAUUGAGAACAUGUGAAAAAGAAUUAGAGGCUGGAUGUUUUAGGCAUCAAUAAACCCUCUUUUUUUCUUUGAUUCCCCUUCUACCUAUUUGCAGGUCAAAGUACCACUGUGUUCCCACCACAUUCAUUGUGAUCCCACAUAAAAUUUACUUAAGCUAUCGUGUCCUUGUGAUAACUUUCAAAUAAAUCACAAUACAAACCA